UGAGGUAGUAGAUUGUAUAGUUGUGGGGUAGUGAUUUUGCCCUGUUCAUGAGAUAACUAUACAAUCUAUUGCCUUCC
rnacentral:pre_miRNA from 1 species